AAGAGGAAGAGACAUGCAGCGAGAAGACACACGUGCUAACGUACGCCGACAAGGAAGGCGACUGGAUGAUGGUUGGCGAUGUCCCUUGGGAGAUGUUCUUGUCAAGUGUGAGAAGAUUGAAGAUCACGAGGGCUUACCACUAUUGACUUCUACGUGCAAGUGGAAGAACUCUUUUACGUUUUGUGGGUUCAUUUUUUUUUUUUGGGAAAUAUAAGUAAUGUACAAUGGAAUCUUAGGUAGGAGGAUGAACAAAUACAUUUGACCCACUCUGUAAAAAAAAAAAAA